CCUACGGGAGGCAGCAGUGAGGAAUAUUGGUCAAUGGACGGAAGUCUGAACCAGCCAUGCCGCGUGCAGGAAGACGGCUCUAUGAGUUGUAAACUGCUUUUGUACAAGGGUAAACCUGAAUACGUGUAUUCAGCUGAAAGUACUGUACGAAUAAGGAUCGGCUAACUCCGUGCCAGCAGCCGCGGUAAUACGGAGGAUCCAAGCGUUAUCCGGAUUUAUUGGGUUUAAAGGGUGCGUAGGCGGAUUGAUAAGUUAGAGGUGAAAUGUCCGAGCUUAACUCGGGAACUGCCUCUAAUACUGUUGGUCUAGAGAGUAGAUGCGGUAGGCGGAAUGUAUGGUGUAGCGGUGAAAUGCUUAGAGAUCAUACAGAACACCGAUUGCGAAGGCAGCUUACCAAUCUAUAUCUGACGUUGAGGCACGAAAGCGUGGGGAGCAAACAGGAUUAGAUACCCCGGUAGUC
rnacentral:rRNA from 1 species